AGCGAACGCUGGCGGCAGGCCUAACACAUGCAAGUCGAACGAACUCUUCGGAGUUAGUGGCGGACGGGUGAGUAACACGUGGGAACGUGCCUUUUGGUUCGGAAUAACUCAGGGAAACUUGUGCUAAUACCGAAUGUGCCCUUCGGGGGGAAAGAUUUAUGGCCAUUAGAGCGGCCCGCGUCUGAUUAGCUAGUUGGUGAGGUUACGGCUCACCAAGGCGACGAUCAGUAGCUGGUCUGAGAGGAUGACCAGCCACACUGGGACUGAGACACGGCCCAGACUCCUACGGGAGGCAGCAGUGGGGAAUCUUGCGCAAUGGGCGAAAGCCUGACGCAGCCAUGCCGCGUGAAUGAUGAAGGUCUUAGGAUUGUAAAAUUCUUUCACCGGGGACGAUAAUGACGGUACCCGGAGAAGAAGCCCCGGCUAACUUCGUG
rnacentral:rRNA from 1 species